AAUAACCAAAUAUAACACUGGGACUAAGGGUCAAAUUGGUAAUUUUUCUUACAUCUCCCCCCCCCCCCGGGGCCAGGUAUCAUAUACACCGCCAAAAUAAAGAGCCUUGAGUACUAGAAGAAAAGGCACCUAGACCUAACAAAAUUAAGUGAAUACCCAAAAUUGUAGUCAUUUUAUUUCUAUCUUUCCA
rnacentral:antisense_RNA from 1 species